GAUGAACGCUAGCGGCAGGCCUAAUACAUGCAAGUCGAACGGUGUAGCAAUACACAGUGGCGCACGGGUGCGUAACACGUAUGCAACCUACCUUACAUUGGGGGAUAGCCUUUCGAAGGGGGGUUUAAUACCGCAAAAGACAGUAACUAGGCAUUAAGUAGUUGUUAAAGAUUUAUCGAUGAAAGUUGGGCAUGCGUCCAAUUAGUUAGUUGGCGAGGUAAUGGCUAACCAAGACGAUGAUUGGUAGGGGAACUGAGAGGUCAAUCCCCCACACUGGCACUGAGAUACGGGCCAGACUCCUACGGGAGGCAGCAGUAGGGAAUAUUGGGCAAUGGGCGCAAGCCUGACCCAGCCAUGCCGCGUGCAGGAAGAAGGCGUUAUGCGUUGUAAACUGCUUUUAUACAGGAAGAAACGACCCUUGCGAGGGGCAUUGACGGUACUGUAUGAAUAAGCACCGGCUAACUCCGUGCCAGCCGCCGCGGUAAGAC
rnacentral:rRNA from 1 species